rnacentral:rRNA from 1 species
GCGAACGCUGGCGGCAGGCUUCACACAUGCCAGUCGCACGGGCAUCUUCGGAUGUCAGUGGCAGACGGGUGAGUAACACGUGGGAACGUACCCUUCGGUUCGGAAUAACUCAGGGAAACUUGAGCUAAUACCGGAUACGCCCUUUUGGGGAAAGGUUUACUGCCGAAGGAUCGGCCCGCGUCUGAUUAGCUUGUUGGUGGGGUAACGGCCUACCAAGGCGACGAUCAGUAGCUGGUCUGAGAGGAUGAUCAGCCACACUGGGACUGAGACACGGCCCAGACUCCUACGGGAGGCAGCAGUGGGGAAUAUUGGACAAUGGGCGCAAGCCUGAUCCAGCCAUGCCGCGUGAGUGAUGAAGGCCUUUGGGUUGUAAAGCUCUUUUGUCCGGGACGAUAAUGACGGUACCGGAAGAAUAAGCCCCGGCUAACUUCGUG